rnacentral:rRNA from 1 species
GACGAACGCUGGCGGCGUGCUUAACACAUGCAAGUCGAACGGUGAAGCGCCUUCCUUUUUGGUGGGUGUGGAUGAGUGGCGAACGGGUGAGUAACACGUGAGUAACCUGCCCCCUUCUUCUGGAUAACCGCAUGAAAGUGUGGCUAAUACGGGAUAUUCUGGGUCUGUCGCAUGAUGGGUCUGGGAAAGAUAUUGUUUCGGUGGGGGAUGGGCUCGCGGCCUAUCAGCUUGUUGGUGGGGUGAUGGCCUACCAAGGCGGUGACGGGUAGCCGGCCUGAGAGGGUGGACGGUCGCGCUGGGACUGAGACACGGCCCAGACUCCUACGGGAGGCAGCAGUGGGGAAUAUUGCACAAUGGGCGCAAGCCUGAUGCAGCGACGCCGCGUGAGGGAUGGAGGCCUUCGGGUUGUGAACCUCUUUCGCCAGUGAAGCAGGCCUGCCUCGUUUGUGGGUGGGUUGACGGUAGCUGGAUAAGAAGCGCCGGCUAACUACGUG